GGAUCAAUGAGACUCCCUCAUAAUGCAUUCCUUGGAAAAUCUAAACAAAGUGAUUUAGAACUCCCUUCUGUCGUUCCCAUCGAAUCUGAGGGUCC